CCAAUAGCGUAUAUUAAAGUUGCUGCAGUUAAAAAGCUCGUAGUUGAAUUUCGGGACUAAUAUGUCGGUCGUGCCUCGGUACGUACUGGUAUUUUUGGUUUCUCCCUUCUGACGAACCUUGAUGUCAUUAAUUUGGUGUCUUGGGAAAUCAGGACUGUUACUUUGAAAAAAUUAGAGUGUUUAAAGCAGGCUCACGCUUGAAUACAUUAGCAUGGAAUAAUGAAAUAGGACGUUUGAUUCUAUUUUGUUGGUUUCUAGGAUCGACGUAAUGAUUAAUAGGGAUAGUUGGGGGCAUUAGUAUUCAAUUGUCAGAGGUGAAAUUCUUGGAUUUAUUGAAGACUAACUACUGCGAAAGCAUUUGCCAAGGAUGUUUUCAUUAAUCAAGAACGAAAGUUAGAGGUUCGAAGGCGAUCAGAUACCGCCCUAGUUCUAACCAUAAACGAUGUCGACUGGCGAUCCGCUUUUGCUAACAUGAAGGCUUAGCGGGCAGCCUCCG
rnacentral:misc_RNA from 1 species